UAACCUACCCAUCAGAGGGGGAUAACACUUGGAAACAGGUGCUAAUACCGCAUAACAGUUUAUGCCGCAUGGCAUAAGAGUGAAAGGCGCUUUCGGGUGUCGCUGAUGGAUGGACCCGCGGUGCAUUAGCUAGUUGGUGAGGUAACGGCUCACCAAGGCCACGAUGCAUAGCCGACCUGAGAGGGUGAUCGGCCACAUUGGGACUGAGACACGGUCCAG
rnacentral:rRNA from 1 species